AGCGAACGCUGGCGGCAGGCCUAACACAUGCAAGUCGAGCGGGGUUUUCGGACCUAGCGGCGGACGGGUGAGUAAUGCGUAGGAAGCUACCCGAUAGAGGGGGAUACCAGUUGGAAACGACUGUUAAUACCGCAUAAUGUCUACGGACCAAAGUGUGGGACCUUCGGGCCACAUGCUAUCGGAUGCGCCUACGUGGGAUUAGCUAGUUGGUGAGGUAAUGGCUCACCAAGGCGACGAUCCCUAGCUGGUUUGAGAGGAUGAUCAGCCACACUGGAACUGAGACACGGUCCAGACUCCUACGGGAGGCAGCAGUGGGGAAUAUUGGACAAUGGGCGCAAGCCUGAUCCAGCCAUGCCGCGUGUGUGAAGAAGGCCUUCGGGUUGUAAAGCACUUUCAGUAGGGAGGAAGCGUUGUGUGUUAAUAGUACACAGCGUUGACGUUACCUACAGAAGAAGCACCGGCUAACUCUGUGCCAGCAGCCGCGGUAACAC
rnacentral:rRNA from 1 species